AUUGAACGCUGGCGGCAUGCCUUACACAUGCAAGUCGAACGGUAACAGAUCUUCGGAUGCUGACGAGUGGCGAACGGGUGAGUAAUACAUCGGAACGUGCCUAGUAGUGGGGGAUAACUACUCGAAAGAGUGGCUAAUACCGCAUGAGAUCUACGGAUGAAAGCAGGGGAUCGCAAGACCUUGUGCUACAAGAGCGGCCGAUGGCAGAUUAGGUAGUUGGUGGGAUAAAAGCUUACCAAGCCGACGGUCUGUAGCUGGUCUGAGAGGACGAUCAGCCACACUGGGACUGAGAAACGGCCCAGACUCCUACGGGAGGAAGCAGUGGGGAAUUUUGGACAAUGGGCGCAAGCCUGAUUCAGCAAUGCCGCGUGCAGGAUGAAGGCCUUCGGGUUGUAAACUGCUUUUGUACGGAACGAAAAGCCCUGGGUUAAAACCCUGGGGUCAUGACGGUACCGUAAGAAUAAGCACCGGCUAACUACGUGCCAGCCGCCGCAGUAAAAC
rnacentral:rRNA from 1 species